UGGUCUAGAGGAAAAGGCACCAGACUCAAAAUCUGGAGAGACAUGGGUUCAAAUCACAA
rnacentral:tRNA from 1 species